GGGGUCAUUCGCGCGCGUCGGGUUUCACAAAACACAUACAUACACACAGUUGCACACGCAGGCACGUGACUCCGAAUGGCCGCUGUGGCUUCCUCUGCCUCGCGCGGAUCUCCGUUCCCACUUCCCGUCUCCACGUCCGAGUCGGUCCGACGCGCGCGCCGUUUCUGAUCCCGCAUUCCGGCUUAACAUUUGGAGGUCACUUGUGCACGGGGAGGGUCACACACACACACACACACACACACACACACACACACACACACACACACAGCACGAGAAAACAGCGGCACGACUCACUGGAGUAACAUCAUCACAUCACAGCGCAUCGCGUCAGACCCGAAGAGAAACUUCCAUCGGUCGCGAGACGCCGGUGGGCGGAGCCAACAGGUUACAGCUCACAGUAAAACGGUGACAAAGACUGGAUCAGUGGCCCAUGAGGAGUGAGACAGGU
ensembl:lncRNA